rnacentral:lncRNA from 1 species
GCUCUUUCCGGAAGGGUGGUAGAGACCCUGGGAACCAGACCAGGCGGGCUCACAAAGUAUGAAGAGAAUGUCGGGAGAGGAAGUGGUGGCUCUGAGUCAGCACGAGUCAUCUGGUUCCAGUGACAAUGAAGACUGAGGUGUCUGCUUUGCAGUUUUUUUUUUUCUUUUCUUGUCUUUUUUUUUUUUUUUCCUAAUCAUGUGGACAUCUCUGAGAAUGAGGGGACUGGGUGACUUUGCAGUGUCUGCUUUCUAAGUUUCAAAGUGACUUUCCAGGCAAGCUGCGCAUAUCUUGGGAUCUUCACAGCACAGUGGCUGGGAAGGCAGGCGGACCCGUCUAUCAGCUUCUCCCUGACAUCCAGCAAGAAGCAGCUCAAGGGUUUAUCUUGGCUCACAGUUUGAAGGUCCGACUCAUCAUGGCAGGACUUGGCGUUGGGUCAGAUGCCCUGUGGCUGUGUCAUGUGGAAUGCGAGGCUGCCUGCUCAUAUCUCAGCAGAUCCAGAGGGGACAAAGAAGAAGGCCACACCCACACGACUUCAGGUGGGAUUCUUGCGGGGGCAGGGAUCGAGUCAAACCUUGGAAAUGACGUCAUUCUGAACUCAUCUGCCUUUAUCCAGAAGACUACCAAAGCAAACCAGAGGACCAGAGAACAGCAGCUGCUCUGGACAAAGAGGGGAGGACACCCACACCCACAUACCAAGUUCUGGUUGACUUCUACAGCAGAAGAAGCAGGAGACACAAGAAGACUCAGAGGGACUGAAAUAUAAGAAGAUCGAUGCCAGAUGUUGUUGUGAUGACAACCUGUUGGGUUGAAGGACCCCAGGAAGACACAGUCCAGAUUCACAGGGACAGAGCCACUCACCUAUUGUCACAUGCAGCACAGAAUAAUGCAGAGGCAUGGCAUCAUAACAAUUCCUGAAUGGUGCUUCUCAGAAGAUGGUACUUCUUGGGGUCUGGUACCUGGACUAGUGAGGCUUCUCAGGGGAUGGGACCCCAACCCAGAAUGACAACAUCACCUGAUAACUUCAUCUUCAUCAUUAUCAUCAUCAUCAUCAUUGUUGUUAUUCCUUUUGUUUUGUUUUGAGAUUGUAAUAAAAUUAUAUCAUUUCUCCAUUGCCCU